rnacentral:rRNA from 1 species
GGCGAACGCUGGCGGCGUGCCUAAUACAUGCAAGUAGAACGCUGAAGGAGGAGCUUGCUUCUCUGGAUGAGUUGCGAACGGGUGAGUAACGCGUAGGUAACCUGCCUGGUAGCGGGGGAUAACUAUUGGAAACGAUAGCUAAUACCGCAUAAUAGUAGAUGUUGCAUGACAUUUGCUUAAAAGGUGCAAUUGCAUCACUACCAGAUGGACCUGCGUUGUAUUAGCUAGUUGGUGAGGUAACGGCUCACCAAGGCGACGAUACAUAGCCGACCUGAGAGGGUGAUCGGCCACACUGGGACUGAGACACGGCCCAGACUCCUACGGGAGGCAGCAGUAGGGAAUCUUCGGCAAUGGACGGAAGUCUGACCGAGCAACGCCGCGUGAGUGAAGAAGGGUUUCGGAUCGUAAAGCUCUGUUGUAAGAGAAGAACGAGUGUGAGAGUGGAAAGUUCACACUGUGACGGUAUCUUACCAGAAAGGGACGGCUAACUACGUG